GCCUUAAAUCUAGCCCACACAAUUCACAUGAUGCCUAAUGACUACUGUAAAAAAUAAAACAUUUUAACAUCUUAGUAUAGGAGACAGAAAAAUUAUUAAGCGCUUUAGAUACAGUACCGCAAGGGAAACAUGAAAUAGAAAUGAAAUAACAUUAUAGCCUCAAACAGCAGAGACGCCCCCUCGUACCUUUUGCAUCAUGGUCUAGCUAGUCCACCCAAGCAAAAUGAAAAUUUUAGUUUGACACCCCGAAACUAAGCGAGCUACUUCAAAACAGCCUAAGGAGCCAACCCGUCUCUGUUGCAAAAGAGUGGGAAGAUUUUCAAGUAGAGGUGAUAAGCCUAUCGAGCUUAGAGAUAGCUGGUUGUUCAGGAAAAGAGUUUUAGCUCUGCCUUAAGUUUUCUUAUUAUAUUAAACAAAGCCGUGAACUUAAGAGUUAUUCAAAUUAGGCACAGCUUAUUUGAAAUAGGACACAACCUCCGCCACCGGGUAAACAAGGAUAGCUAAAAUAAAGUGGGCCUAAAAGCAGCCACCUUUAAAAAAGCGUCAAAGCUUAGCUACUCUCAUCCUCAAUCUCUAAAAUAUCCUCCAACCCCUCACCCGUACUGAACCAUUCUAUAUCCCUAUAGAAAAUAUUAUGCUAGAACUAGUAACAAGAAAUUGCCAUUCUCCAUAAUGUAAGCAUAAGCCGAAACGGACCAUCCAUCGGCGAUUAACGUAAAUGCAAAACCCAUAAUAACACAUACCAGAAAACCCUAUGAUUCAUCGACACGUUACCCUUACACCAGAACAUUACAGGAAAGAUUAAAAGAAAAAGAAGGAACUCGGCAAAUUUUAGCCCCGCCUGUUUACCAAAAACAUCGCCUCUUGCCCAAACAUAAGAGGUCUAGCCUGCCCAGUGACAAAAUUCAACGGCCGCGGUAUACUAACCGUGCGAAGGUAGCAUAAUCACUUGUUCUUUAAAUAGGGACUCGUAUCAACGGCAUCACGAGGGCUAUACUGUCUCCUUUAUCUAAUCAGUGAAACUGAUCCCCCCGUGAAGAAGCGGGGAUACAAUUAUAAGACGAGAAGACCCCAUGGAGCUUUAAACCCAACACACACCUCUUCACCCAGAUAUCAAUUUAACCAAAGAGGCCUGUGCAUUGGUUUUAGGCUGGGGGGGCCACGGAGUAAAAUUAAACCUCCAUAACAAAUGGGCUAAUACCCUUAUCCGCGAUAUUACAAAUCUAAGAAUCACCAAAAUGAUGUUUAAUGACCCGAUAAUUCGAUCAAUGAACCAAGUUACCCUGGGGAUAACAGCGCAAUCCACUUCAAGAGCCCCUAUCGACAAGUGGGUUUACGACCUCGAUGUUGGAUCAGGGUAUCCUAGUGGUGCAACCGCUACUAACGGUUCGUUUGUUCAACGAUUAAAACCCUACGUGAUCUGAGUUCAGACCGGAGUAAUCCAGGUCGGUUUCUAUCUAUAAAGGAUCUCCCCUAGUACGAAAGGACCGGGGUGAUACGGCCAAUGCACAAACAAGCCGGAUUCUCCCAUCAAUGAAACAAUCUCAAUUGACCAAGACCUUGCACUUACCCCUAGACCAGGGGUAU
rnacentral:rRNA from 1 species